rnacentral:rRNA from 1 species
CUACGGGUGGCACCAGUGAGGAAUAUUGCACAAUGGGGGGAACCCUGAUGCAGCAACGCCGCGUGGAGGAUGACGCAUUUCGGUGUGUAAACUCCUUUUAUAUGUCAAGAAAAUGACGGUAGCAUAUGAAUAAGCACCGGCUAACUCCGUGCCGGCAGCCGCGGUAAUACGGAGGGUGCAAGCGUUACUCGGAAUCACUGGGCGUAAAGGGCGCGUAGGCGGGUUGGAAAGUCAGGUGUGAAAUCCUACAGCUUAACUGUAGAACUGCACUUGAAACUUCUAAUCUAGAGUAUGGGAGGGGGAGAUGGAAUUAGUGGUGUAGGGGUAAAAUCCGUAGAUAUCACUAGGAAUACCUAAAGCGAAGGCGAUCUCCUGGAACAUUACUGACGCUAAGGCGUGAAAGCGUGGGGAGCAAACAGGAUUAGAUACCCGCGUAGUC